rnacentral:rRNA from 1 species
AUUGAACGCUGGCGGCAGGCCUAACACAUGCAAGUCGCGCGAGCGGCGUACGGGUGAGUACUGUAUGGGGACUGCCCGAUAGAUGGGGAUAACUACUGGACACGGUGUCUAAUACAGCAUACUGUCGGCUAACCCAUAUUGGAUUAGUUAGUAGGUACGGUAAUGGCUUACCUAUGCGACGAUCCCUAGCUGGUCUGAGAGGAUGAUCAGCCACACUGGUACUGAGACACCGCACAUACGCCUAAGGAGGCAGCAGUGGCGAAUAUUGCACAAGGGGCGCAAGCCUGAUGCAGACAUGCCUGGGGUAGGAAGAAGGCCCUAGGGUUGUAAAGUACUUUCAGUCGGGAGGCGUGACAGACAGAAGAAGCACCGGCUAACGCCGUGCCAGCCGCCGCGGUAAUAC